rnacentral:rRNA from 1 species
AUGGAUCCAAACUACAGCCGACGGUCAAGAAACGAAGAUGAUUUUGUACAUUUCAUACUCCCUACAUUACAAGGUAGCUCAUCCCAAUCAUCUCAGAGGAGAGCAAUACAUACAUCCAUCCUAAAUGGAGCUACUUAUGUGCAUGAAGCUCUUACUGGCCAUGAGGUUCUAUGUGAAUGGAGGUUCCAUAUGGAGAGAUCAAUCUUUCAAGCUUUAGCACAAAAACUGCGUGAAAAUCACCUUCUCCAGGAUGCAAGGUACAUCUCUGUACAAGAGCAAGUAGCCAUAUUUUUUUAUGCAGUAUCAAAGAAUGCAACCAACAGAACAUUGCAAGACAGAUUCCAGCAUGGCGCUGAUUCAAUUAGUACUUAUUUCCACGCCGUGCUCAACGCGAUUACACGACUCACAUGCAACUACAUACAACCUUCUGUACACCAGCAUCCCAUAUUAAGGCAACAGAAGUUUUCAUACUUUAAGAACUGUAUUGGAGCUAUUGUUGGUACUCACUUUCCCAUGACUAUUCCGCCUGGGCAACAAGAUCCAUACAGAAAUAGAAAACAAGGUCUUUCACAAAAUGUAAUGGUUGCAUGCGACUUUGACAUGAAGUUUGUGCAUGUACAUGCUGGAUGGGAGGGAUCUGCAUCAGAUGCAAGGGUUUUGCAAGAUGCACUAGAACAUGGAUUCAAUGUACCGUCUGGAAAAUUUUAUCUUGUAGAUGCGGGUUAUGCAAAUACACCCCAAUUCAUUGCUCCAUACUGA